AAGCAAUUUAUGUUCUUAAGACAUUACAUUUGAAAAUUAAAUCGUUACUAACAAAUAAGCCGAAGAUAGGCCUGUUAAUUUUGCUAUACCAAUUAUUACCACAUAAACUCAGUUUGUAAUUUGCCCAAACACAAUAACAUGGAUUAAGGAGGAGGCUGCAGAGGGAUAAAGCAACUUCGAAGGUGCAAUUGCCUAUUCAAUCUCCCCAUGUUGAUAGUGCUUGAAAAAUGAGCACAUUUAAUAACACACGGAGCCAUUAGACUAGUAGCUCAAUGAUGUGCUUAUCUCACACUGCAGCAGGUCAGGGGCUGAUACCCUGAUAACCCUUUUCUCCUGAGAAUUUCUGAAAUACAAAUUAACAAAUGAUAACAAAAGUGCUUCGGCUUCAGGUUAUAUUCAUUUAUACAAAGGUCACUUUCAGCUUGGCUUGUUUGAAACAUGGAUUAUUGUAAUUAAUGACUUUUAGUAACAGAUAUCAAAGAAAAAACAUCAUAAAUAUAACAUCCCCAGGCAUGAAAGAAUCCAAUAGGUGCCACCCUACCUUUGCCAAUGAAUUGCUGCAUCCAUAAUGAACCAUAGCCAAUGCUCACAUACGACAUCAUUUGAAGUUCCCAGUCUAAAAAUAGUAAUCUUAAAUAUGCACUUCUAAAUAUCCACUAAGGCUGCGGGCGUGUCUGGACUAUGUAGAUAUCUUUUCCAAUCACACAGCCCUCCACAUCUUGUGGACACCCAAAUUUCCUCUCCAAGAAAAACCCAACAGCACAGAGACGCUGACCAAGAUGACGACGGAAUAUUGGAUCAACUGUUAAUGGUUUCUUGCUGUAAUCAACAACCAAACGGAUGAUUUCCCCAUCAGCCGGACCUGCACCAGAUACUAGCAUUUCCUCACUGAAAUUCGCAAAUGCCAGUGUUCGUACAUGUCCAUCAAACUUCCCAGAUGAAAGACGCCAGGGAGUGCCCCGAGUGCCUGAAGCUAGGGUUUCACCAAGCCCAGGGGCAAUCUCGGCCUCAACCAAAUUGUGUUCUUGGUCAGUAGGGCUGAGAGUGUGAAGCACAAAUGAGAGAUCCGGUGAAAGCAUUUCUUGCACCAGAACUGCCAUUGCAGCAUCCUUCUGAGACACACCAGCAGCUUGACGACUUAAAACAGCUCUGCGAGUGUACAGUGAAGCCCAUACUUGGCUUACAGCAUUUGCAAAUACAAUUGGAUUUGAUGGGCUAACAUUAGGAAUAGACUCAUAAAGUCCAGCAGCUGACAGUCCUGCUAGGUCCUCAACAUUGGCACUUGAACGUACAAUUAAACGUGCAUUACCUGGAAAUAUUCGGCCUAUUCCAUCAAUUAUAUCUUUUGGGGGCUGCAAAGAAGAGAUCAGCUCCUGGAGUUGAGAGCACAGUUUGUCAAGUUCACCACCUUCCAAUCUAGCUGUUUCUGUCUGUUCUAGAAGUGACAUGAAUGUUUCCAUGGUUUUACUCUGCUUUAGUGCCAAUUCCAUAGAACCAAAUGGUAUAACUGCCCCCUUGGGCACAUGAAAUGAAGCUGGGACCCCUUGGUCACUAUAAACUUUAUGUGAAACAGCUGCCAAAGAGGCUAAACGACCACAGGCAGCAGCCUUUGCACCAGAAGAAAGUGUAUCUACAUCCGAAAGCAGUAUAACACCUCCAGACGAAAAACCCUGACUUGAAUAACUUUGAAUAGCUGACUCAUGAGAUCCAAAGGAUUCAAUUGUAGGUGUACCGUUACCAGAAAGAUCUUUUCCAAUAAAAUUACCACCAAUGUUACCUGAUGAAUUCAGAGUUAGGUUUACGCCAGUCGAGGAUGCUUCCAACCUCACAUAUUUUCCAGUAAGCCUUUGUAUAUAAUCAACUUUAUCUUCAUCUUCACAUGUCACAAAGACAACCUUCUCUUGCCGGGCCCUAACACCAAGAUGAGAUAAGUGAGGCAGCUCCUGAAGAAGCACAACUCCCACUAUGUUACUACUAGCAGCUGUUACCUCUUCAUCUCCAUCAGCUUUGUUGACCACAAGAAUAACAGGUCCUAUGGUUGAUGGUAAUGAUCCAGGCACAAUGCUCUCAACCUGAAACAAUUUUCCACGAGCAGCUCCAGGUACAAGAACAUCCCAACCCUGAGAACCAAGUGUAUUUCUAACUGCUUUCAAAAACAAGGUACAGAGUUUCGAAACCUGAAAAAUUACCCCAGCACGAAUCUCAGCUUCCGUGUACGUUCUUACACUGUUUUCAGGAAUUCCAAGUGCUUUUCCAAGCAUCUGUACUUUUGGUGGAAAUAUUUGAAGAAGUGUUUCAGAAUAUUCCUCAGUUAGCCUUCUUGCUCUAUCAAGAGUAGCUUUCAGCCUCAGUGCCCAAAUUAUUUUGCCAUCCUCACUUCCUUCCUUUUCAAAGAGACCUUUCUCUUGCCAGGCAAGGAGCUCAGAUUCAAUAGCUGCACAUUCAUCUGGCUUCCAACCAGACAAACUCAGCUGGUGAACACCAAAAAUGAGGGCACCAAGUGGGUCAUUCCAAGAGCUUACAUUCUUUAAUUCCACAUUGUCUGAAAGCCACUUAGCCCCUCCCACAUUUUCAAGUGCGUUGAGCAACCUGCUUAGGAGAACAAAAGAAUAGUCCUCGAGGCCAAUUUCACAAAGACGCCAUUUUUGUCGCAUAGCUAUUGCAGCAUCAGGAGCAUCAUUCCUAAGACCACUCUCAAGACCCUCUACAAUUAUAUUUCUUAAAGCAUUCAGAGAUCGUAAGGUCGUGAUCAGUUGAAAAUUAUUGCUGGAUUCUUCAGAAGUAUCCAAGUUCUUUUUACAUUCCAAAAACAAUGUAAGAGCCGAUAAACCUCUUUCAUCCAAGGAUUCUCUAAUUGAUUCAAGUUGCUCCGCAAGACUUUACGCUUACACAUGAGUCCAGCCCAAAGGUCUGAGCAAGGUAUUUUUCCAAAGUUAAAUUUGAGUUGUGCCACAAGGAAAUCUCUUGCCUAUGCCCAUCUCAAGUAAUAGUCAGGCCCCCUUCAAGUUGGGCCAAAGGGAAAAAUCACCUUCCCAAACAGGUGUCUUUGAUCACUUUCCCAGCCUUCCGGCAUUGAAGAAAUCUUUGAGUUCAUGAUGGAAUAUCUUGAAUUGUUCUACAAAUGCUUCACUAUAUUCACCAGGGUUGUUGGUAAUUCUUGCAAGCAUUGCUUCUGUAGCAACUAAAUCUUCAGGGCCAGCAUUGCGGUGAAGCUUGUUUUGUAUAGUGUGUUUGAUUUCUUGCUUGAGAUCAUGAGGGAUAUCACCCCGAUGAGCAAUAUCUCUAAUUCGAGUUAAAGGGACAGAUGCCGUAAAUUCUGCUUUAAAAGAUGGCAAGCAUGGAUGGAUCUUUCGGAUAACAAGUAUUUCCUUGGGCGAAGUAUCUUUUCUGCAAGAAAUUUGUUCCAACCCCCGAAAUAUAAGGCUGGAAAUUUCAGCAUGCCGGUUUGGUCGGUGAUGACCUCCAUCUUCAAAGCAAGGAAUUUGUCCAGUGUUUAUCCACUUCAGAUAUAUAGCAGAGUAUAUGAGAGCUUCCAAUCGGUCUGCAGUCUCAAAACUUCCAACCAAUAGCUGCCGUACAACUUCAAGCUUUCUCCACCAGUUCCUUGCAUUCCGAUCACCUUCAACUAGUGUUAAAGCCAGCCCCUCAAGGUCUGAAGUGUCCCAUAGUCUUUCAGUUUCGCUAUGCCGGAGCUCAUUGGAUCGCAUGAAUGAGAUAGCCUUCCCUUGCCACUGCCCAACAAAAGGACUAGUCUCCACCUCCAAAAGAGUGGCAGCACUAACAGAUCCAUUCUCAUCCACAUCCUCCACUUCCACCUCAUUCUCUUCCAAAUUCAAAGGCAACAGAUUCAUAGGCUCCAAAGUUGCAUUCCAUUGGCAGACCAUCACAUAACUUCCUCUUUUUGGCAGUUUCAAGAUCCGGUUAUCCCCACCUUCCCAUACCAUACUCUUGUCCUUCCUCACAACAACAAACUUAUACUGAAUAGACUCACCCCCUCUUAACUCCACAUCACAAACCCAUCCAGACUCUGUCCAAUUCAUUGGCACCUUCUUCUUCCACAGACCUAAUUCUUUGGCAGACCCUAAAAUCACUACAUGCUCACCAAAUUCAACUUGGUGAUCUAGCCGAACGUUAAGCUGAACCUUUCCAUUCCCCGACUUCGAUUUGGCUUUUUGCAUCUUCUUCUCUCCCUCUCUUGUUUCAGUAGGAGAAACACCGCAAAUGAUUCUAUGAAUGGUGCUUGAUCGAUAGCGAAGAGGAAAAGAAAUCCCAGGAUUACGAAGAGCAUGGAAGAAAUUCAAUCGCUUUCCGUGGAAAUUGAGUCUGGGGGAAGAAUUAGAGAGGUGCAAUACACGCAGAGAAUCCAUUUCUGUGAAGAGAAAGAUUGAAAUACCGUGAGAGAAGCAGAAACUAAUUAUUGCAGUUUGAGAAAGUGGAGGAGAACGGUUUGAGAAUUUUCAUCGCGCCACGUGCUGAGUCACGAAACGAACAAAUACCCAAGACCAAUCUCACAAAAUUAUAUCUUCU
rnacentral:misc_RNA from 1 species